UACGUAGGGUGCGAGCGUUAAUCGGAAUUACUGGGCGUAAAGUGUGCGCAGGCGGCCGAGCAAGUCGAGUGUGAAAGCCCCGAGCUUAACUUGGGAACUGCGCUCGAAACUACUUGGCUAGAGUGUGGCAGAGGGAGGUGGAAUUCCACGUGUAGCGGUGAAAUGCGCAGAUAUCAGGAGGAACACCGGUGGCGAAGGCGGGUCUCUGGGCCGUAACUGACGCUGAGGAGCGAAAGCAUGGGGAGCGAACAGG
rnacentral:rRNA from 1 species